GACGAACGCUGGCGGAGGGAGGAACACAUGCAAGUCGAACGGAAAGGCCCUGCUUUUGUGGGGUGCUCGAGUGGCGAACGGGUGAGUAACACGUGAGUAACCUGCCCUUGACUUUGGGAUAACUUCAGGAAACUGGGGCUAAUACCGGAUAGGAGCUCCUGCGGCAUGGUGGGGGUUGGAAAGUUUCGGCGGUUGGGGAUGGACUCGCGGCUUAUCAGCUUGUUGGUGGGGUAGUGGCUUACCAAGGCUUUGACGGGUAGCCGGCCUGAGAGGGUGACCGGCCACAUUGGGACUGAGAUACGGCCCAGACUCCUACGGGAGGCAGCAGUGGGGAAUAUUGCACAAUGGGCGGAAGCCUGAUGCAGCAACGCCGCGUGCGGGAUGACGGCCUUCGGGUUGUAAACCGCUUUCGCCUGUGACGAAGCGUGAGUGACGGUAAUGGGUAAAGAAGCACCGGCUAACUACGUG
rnacentral:rRNA from 1 species